rnacentral:rRNA from 1 species
UACGUAGGGAGCAAGCGUUGUCCGGAAUCAUUGGGCGUAAAGCGCGCGUAGGCGGCGUGUUAAGUGCAAUGCGAAAUCCUGUGGCUCAACCAUAUGGACUGUAUUGCAUACUGGCAUGCUAGAGGACGGCAGAGGCAAGUGGAAUUACCGGUGUAGCAGUGAAAUGCGUAGAGAUCGGUAGGAACACCAAUGGCGAAGGCAGCUUGCUGGGCCGACCCUGACGCUGAGACGCGAAAGCGUGGGGAGCAAACAGG